rnacentral:tRNA from 2 species
GGUCCCGUAGCUCAACUGGAUAGAGCACCUGCCUUCUAAGCAGGGGGUUCGGGGUUCGAGUCCUCGCGGGAUCGCCA